rnacentral:misc_RNA from 1 species
UCAUAAGUGCCAAAAGGUAGAUCACCAACAAGAAGAGGUCUUUUAGCACCUCUAGCCACAGCUCUACAAUGAACAAGCAUCUCAUCAAUGGUAAUAGGCAAAGUAGUAUCAUGUCCAUGAACGACCAUAGAUGCAGAAUCACCCACAAGACAUAUAUCAAUUCCAGCCAUAUCUAUAUGAACACCAGAUGGGUAAUCAUAACCCGUCACCAUUGUUAUCGCUUCACCCUUCUUAUACUUUUGCCUCAACGUCAUUAGGGUUACUCUUUGAUUUGGGUUUUGGGGUUUUGGUCCACCAUACACUGUGUUCUCAGGAAUAUUGCUCAAGAACCGCAAUUUUCUAUAAUGGGUAUACCCAGUUUUGCACAAUGAAGAUGAAAUUCCUCUUGAAAUUGAACGAAAAAACACCAUUUUCG